rnacentral:rRNA from 1 species
AGGAAUUGGCGGGGGAGCACCACAAGGGGUGAAGCCUGCGGUUCAAUUGGAGUCAACGCCAGGAAACUUACCAGGAGAGACAGCAGGUUGAGGGUCAGUCUGAAGAACUUACCUGACGAGCUGAGAGGAGGUGCAUGGCCGUCGCCAGCUCGUGCCGUGAGGCGUCCUGUUAAGUCAGGCAACGAGCGAGAGCCCUAUCGGUAAUUGCUAACUGCCCAGAGAUGGGUAGAGGCUAGUUACAGAGACUGCCGUUGAUAAAACGGAGGAAGGAAGGGGCCACGGCAGGUCAGUAUGCCCCGAAACUCCUGGGCCACACGCGGGCUGCAAUGGUAGGGACAAUAGGUUCCGACCUCGAAAGAGGAAGGCAAUCCCGAAACCCUACCCCAGUUGUGAUCGAGGAUUGAAACCCGUCCUCGUGAAUAUGGAAUCCCUAGUAACCGCGUGUCAUCACCGCGCGGUGAAUACGUCCCUGCUCCUUGCACACACCGCCCGUC